rnacentral:lncRNA from 10 species
GUUUGCUUGGUCCUUAAUCUUUAUUUGCAACUGCCGAUUAGCCUCAUAAAGAACUCCCGUGGCCAGGAGCAAGCCUGAGCCUCACUUUGCUUUCUUCUCUUUAGGAUUUCAGUCAAGGAGAUGCCUACCUGGGGACAGAAUCUGGAAAAGAUCUCAAAAUAGAUCUUCUCAAGGCACCCGGAGGCAAACGAGGCAUAGACACACUAGGAUAAAAGCUGUCUUCAAGUCAAAGCCCUCCCUAGGGCUCCAGGCAGAGCAAAGGACCAGAUCUCCCCCUCUGCACUCCCCACCUACAGACAGAGGGGCCUGCAGAAGCCUUGAUCUCCGAGUGGUCUGUGGCCGUGAGGUGGAGAGAUACAACUGCUUUGUCGAGGACCCAGGGGAAGACUGAACUGUGUCUGCCUGAGUCUUAUCAAAGGAAAAAUGGUAACAGCACUUUUAUUUUUUUUUAAUGAGUAAUAUAGGGGAAAUAUAGGAGAAAAAACUUGUUUAAGUAAGAAUUUGAAAUUAAGUUUGCCAAAUAUGCUGAGAGUUGAUCCUUGGAGAAACUUUAUCUUUACUGCAUAGUCAAAUACAUCGACUUUGGGGGCACCUGGCAAUUACUGCGUGGCAUAGAUUCAAUUUGUUCUUGUGUAGACAAUAUUAUCUGGCACAGGAAACAGGAAACCUUCACACAUAUUUUAGUAAACACAAUCCCAG